AAGGACUCGUGCGUGCCUUCCAUUUCCCUCCUGUUUUUGUCACCCGCCUCUUCCUCAUCUCGCCACCUGUUUCCCCCACUACGCCCACAAAACGUCACCGUUUCAUUCUCACUCCUUCCUCACACCCUCUCUUUUUCCCCACAUUCCUUCGUUUCAUCUCAAUUCAAAAAUUCAUUCUUUUAACAUUAAUAAUAAUAAUUUUAUUGAAAUAAAUCAAUCAAAAAGGUAACUCCAAAUAUCUCCUCCAGCUUUUUACUGCUUCUUAAUUUUGAUCGACUAUGACCUUAAUUUUGAUCGACUAUGACGAUGUACUAAAGCUUCAAUUUUUUUCGGUUUUUUCAGUCAACGCUUUUGCUUCAAGAUUUCGUUUUACCUUCCUUGAAAAUUAAAGCUCACCUAAUUGAUACAAUUGAAACUCUUCUUUUAAGCUGGAAAUUGAUACAAUUUUCACUUCAUUUUUUCUUAACUUUGUAUCCAGAUUUGCUGCUUUUGUUUACAGUUUUUAUUUUUUUAAUAUUUUUCUGUGGAGCUAAGCAUGACUUUGGUUACAGCUUUAUAUUAUUUUAACAUAUAAUCAGACUAAUUUAUUGAAUUUUAUGGCAUGGUCCAUUUGACCAAAUAUUUUUGUUACUUGAACUGAUGAACACGAAUUUUGAAGUGAAUACGUGUGUUUGAUUGCCGGAUUUUGUAAGAUUCCUUUGUAGAAAUAUUUUAAUCCCACGAACAGUAUGAUUCAGUAAAUAGCUUUGGGAAUGGUAUUGAUUCUAUUCUUGUUUGUUUAUUCAUAUAAGAACUUUGAUGCAACCUUCAGAUUCCUUUUGAACCAUGUAGUUAUAUAUUUGGAUUAGUUUAUAGCAUAUCAACAGUUGAUUGUUGCAUUUAGAUGUUUUUUGUUACUUCCGCUCUUGAUUGCUUAUUAUAUGUUAGUUAAAGAGCAAACAUUAUACAAGUUCUUGAUUGAUUAGUGCUCUUUCGUAUAACGGGUUCGUGACUGAUGUUCACUUUCUUAUUUGACUUUGUUUAUGCAGUUCUUGUAGCGAGAUUGUGUAAUUUGAAUAUUCAGAUACUUCUGUAGCUGAUGGAUUCGCCAGAUAUUGAGUCUCCCUGGCUUUGUGCCGCUGGCGAAUCCUUCUGUGGGUCGUUUAAUAUACGUGUGGAGGAGGGGAAUGCAGCCGAUAUUUUACAUGUGCUGGAAGUUCCCACCUCUUCUGUACCCUAUAACUGUAGUAUACCCAAGCCACCCCCUCUCCCUAUUAAACCCUGUACAAAAAACAAAUAUCCCAAUAGAUUUUUACAUUGUAGAGACACUCAACGGACAACGGUGAAAUCAAGAAUAAAGUUUAAAGUUCAACGGACAAAUUAUUGCGAUAAAUUCUUGUAAAGCCGGUAUGAUUUAAUUGAUGCAUGAUUUAGCAUUUGAAAAGCUCAAGAGAUUAAUUUAAUUAAUUACUUUUCAUAAACUAAAAGGUUUUAUUUUUAUAAGAUAAAGUAUUUUGUGGUUUUGAGUAUUUUGAACUUAAAUGGAAAGUUUUGCAAUCUUUGAUUUUAAUAAGUAUUAUCUUGAAUUCCGGAGUUGGAUCUUUUUGCAAAUAUGUGAAAUGUUUUAGCCCAUACUAUAAUUUAUGAACAUUUUGAACUAAAGUGAAAAGUUUUGAGAACUUUGAAAAAUAUAGGUAUUAUGUUAAAUUUUGAAAAAUGACCUCUUUGAGAAAUAAUAAUAUAUUUGGGGCCAUAGCAUAAUUACAGAAAGUUUUGAAAAGACAAUUAUUAUUAGGAAAUUCUGAAAUUGGAUUUAUUUGUAAAGUUUUAUGACAUUUUUUGCUAUAGUAGAAUUAUAGAAAGGUUUGGGCCAAAGUGUAAUUUUAGUGAACAAUGUUACUGUAGUAAAAUUCAAAAAUAACGGUAAUAUCACUAUUACAAGCGGCUAACCGGAUAAAUCAAGCGGCUAAUCGCUUGGGCAUUAGAAUUUGGCUAUAACGACUAGGUUUCAAGUUUUAACUAUAAAAACUCAACUCCAACUUCAUUUUAAGAACCAAUGCAAGCGUAAAUAAGAUCAUAUAACAUAUAUUGAGCUUCAAUUUCGCAAAUCAUCAUUUAUUGAAUCAUUAUUGAGCUAUAAUUUGUUAUCUACUCUUAAAGAGAGUUUCAUUGUUGUGAUUUUCAUUUCUCAUCAAAUCUGCUGUACCGUACAUCCGCCUUGGCCGUACAGCAGAUGUACUAAAGCUUCAAUUUUUUUCGGUUUUUUCAGUCAACGCUUUUGCUUCAAGAUUUCGUUUUACCUUCCUUGAAAAUUAAAGCUCACCUAAUUGAUACGAUUAAAACUCUUUUUUUAACUGAAGAUUGAUACAAUUUUCACUUCAUUUUUUUCUUAACUUUGUAUCCGGAUUUGCUACUUUUGUUUAAAGUUUUUUAUUUUUUUAUAUUUUUCUGCGGAGCUAAGCAUGACUUUGGUUACAGCUUUAUAUUAUUUUAACAUAUAAUUAGACUAAUUUAUUUAUUUGUGGAUUUAUUAUUUUUAAAUAUGGUUUGAGACUUCUGAUGUUUCAAUAUUUAUUGCACACGUGUAGUGCAGUGGCUUUAAUGAAUGUGGUAUUGUAAAGUUUAAAGCUUUUUGCAUGUGAAUGAGUUGGUGUGUACUCUUUCAUUGAUGUUUAGAUUCAUGUAUGUGGUGAUCUCNNNN
rnacentral:lncRNA from 1 species